rnacentral:rRNA from 1 species
UCAAGUGAAGAAGCGCAUACGGUGGAUGCCUUGGCAGUCAGAGGCGAUGAAAGACGUGGUAGCCUGCGAUAAGCUUUGGGGAGUCGGCAAACAGACUGUGAUCCAGAGAUCUCUGAAUGGGGGAACCCACUCAGCAUAAGCUGAGUAUCUUGUACUGAAUACAUAGGUGCAAGAGGCGAACCAGGGGAACUGAAACAUCUAAGUACCCUGAGGAAAAGAAAUCAACCGAGAUUCCCUUAGUAGUGGCGAGCGAACGGGGACCAGCCCUUAAGUUGGUUUGAGAUUAGUGGAACGCUCUGGAAAGUGCGGCCAUAGUGGGUGAUAGCCCCGUACACGAAAAUCUCUUAUCAAUGAAAUCGAGUAGGACGGAGCACGAGAAACUUUGUCUGAACAUGGGGGGACCAUCCUCCAAGGCUAAAUACUACUGACUGACCGAUAGUGAACCAGUACCGUGAGGGAAAGGCGAAAAGAACCCCGGAGAGGGGAGUGAAAUAGAACCUGAAACCGUAUGCGUACAAGCAGUGGGAGCCUACUUGUUAGGUGACUGCGUACCUUUUGUAUAAUGGGUCAGCGACUUAUAUUCAGUGGCGAGCUUAACCGAAUAGGGGAGGCGUAGCGAAAGCGAGUCUUAAUAGGGCGUUUAGUCGCUGGGUAUAGACCCGAAACCGGGCGAUCUAUCCAUGGGCAGGUUGAAGGUUAGGUAACACUGACUGGAGGACCGAACCGACUACCGUUGAAAAGUUAGCGGAUGACCUGUGGAUCGGAGUGAAAGGCUAAUCAAGCUCGGAGAUAGCUGGUUCUCCUCGAAAGCUAUUUAGGUAGCGCCUCAUGUAUCACUGUAGGGGGUAGAGCACUGUUUCGGCUAGGGGGUCAUCCCGACUUACCAAACCGAUGCAAACUCCGAAUACCUACAAGUGCCGAGCAUGGGAGACACACGGCGGGUGCUAACGUCCGUCGUGAAAAGGGAAACAACCCAGACCGUCAGCUAAGGUCCCAAAGUCAUGGUUAAGUGGGAAACGAUGUGGGAAGGCUUAGACAGCUAGGAGGUUGGCUUAGAAGCAGCCACCCUUUAAAGAAAGCGUAAUAGCUCACUAGUCGAGUCGGCCUGCGCGGAAGAUGUAACGGGGCUCAAACCAUGCACCGAAGCUACGGGUAUCACCUUUUGGUGAUGCGGUAGAGGAGCGUUCUGUAAGCCUGUGAAGGUGAGUUGAGAAGCUUGCUGGAGGUAUCAGAAGUGCGAAUGCUGACAUGAGUAACGACAAUGCGAGUGAAAAACUCGCACGCCGAAAGACCAAGGUUUCCUGCGCAACGUUAAUCGACGCAGGGUUAGUCGGUCCCUAAGGCGAGGCUGAAAAGCGUAGUCGAUGGAAAACAGGUUAAUAUUCCUGUACUUCCAGUUAUUGCGAUGGAGGGACGGAGAAGGCUAGGCCAGCUUGGCGUUGGUUGUCCAAGUUUAAGGUGGUAGGCUGAGAUCUUAGGCAAAUCCGGGAUCUCAAGGCCGAGAGCUGAUGACGAGUGCUCAUUAGAGCGCGAAGUGGUUGAUGCCAUGCUUCCAAGAAAAGCUCCUAAGCUUCAGAUAACUGGGAACCGUACCCCAAACCGACACAGGUGGUUAGGUAGAGAAUACCAAGGCGCUUGAGAGAACUCGGGUGAAGGAACUAGGCAAAAUGGCACCGUAACUUCGGGAGAAGGUGCGCCGGCGAGGGUUAAGGACUUGCUCCGUAAGCCCAUGCCGGUCGAAGAUACCAGGCCGCUGCGACUGUUUAUUAAAAACACAGCACUCUGCAAACACGAAAGUGGACGUAUAGGGUGUGACGCCUGCCCGGUGCCGGAAGGUUAAUUGAUGGGGUUAGCGCAAGCGAAGCUCUUGAUCGAAGCCCCGGUAAACGGCGGCCGUAACUAUAACGGUCCUAAGGUAGCGAAAUUCCUUGUCGGGUAAGUUCCGACCUGCACGAAUGGCGUAACGAUGGCGGCGCUGUCUCCACCCGAGACUCAGUGAAAUUGAAAUCGCUGUGAAGAUGCAGUGUAUCCGCGGCUAGACGGAAAGACCCCGUGAACCUUUACUAUAGCUUUGCACUGGACUUUGAAUUUGCUUGUGUAGGAUAGGUGGGAGGCUUUGAAGUGGGGACGCCAGUUCUCAUGGAGCCAUCCUUGAAAUACCACCCUGGCAACUUUGAGGUUCUAACUCAGGUCCGUUAUCCGGAUCGAGGACAGUGUAUGGUGGGUAGUUUGACUGGGGCGGUCUCCUCCCAAAGAGUAACGGAGGAGUACGAAGGUGCGCUCAGACCGGUCGGAAAUCGGUCGUAGAGUAUAAAGGCAAAAGCGCGCUUGACUGCGAGACAAACACGUCGAGCAGGUACGAAAGUAGGUCUUAGUGAUCCGGUGGUUCUGUAUGGAAGGGCCAUCGCUCAACGGAUAAAAGGUACUCCGGGGAUAACAGGCUGAUACCGCCCAAGAGUUCAUAUCGACGGCGGUGUUUGGCACCUCGAUGUCGGCUCAUCACAUCCUGGGGCUGAAGCCGGUCCCAAGGGUAUGGCUGUUCGCCAUUUAAAGUGGUACGCGAGCUGGGUUUAGAACGUCGUGAGACAGUUCGGUCCCUAUCUGCCGUGGACGUUUGAGAUUUGAGAGGGGCUGCUCCUAGUACGAGAGGACCGGAGUGGACGAACCUCUGGUGUUCCGGUUGUCACGCCAGUGGCAUUGCCGGGUAGCUAUGUUCGGAAGAGAUAACCGCUGAAAGCAUCUAAGCGGGAAACUUGCCUCAAGAUGAGAUCUCACUGGAACCUUGAGUUCCCUAAAGGGCCGUCGAAGACUACGACGUUGAUAGGUUGGGUGUGUAAGCGCUGUGAGGCGUUGAGCUAACCAAUACUAAUUGCCCGUGAGGCUUGACCAU